rnacentral:tRNA from 1 species
ACCUGGCUGGCACAGUCGGUAGAGCAUGAGACUCUUAAUCUAAGGGUCAUGAGUUCAAGUCUCAGGUUGGGUG